UACGUAGGUGGCAAGCGUUGUCCGGAUUUAUUGGGUUUAAAGGGUGCGUAGGCGGUCUUUUAAGUCAGUGGUGAAAUACUUCAGCUCAACUGGAGAGGUGCCAUUGAUACUGGGAGACUUGAGUACUGAUGAGGUAGGCGGAAUGGACGGUGUAGCGGUGAAAUGCUUAGAUAUCGUCCAGAACACCGAUAGCGAAGGCAGCUUACUAAGGAGUAACUGACGCUGAGGCACGAAAGUGUGGGGAUCAAACAGG
rnacentral:rRNA from 1 species